UACGUAGGGCGCAAGCGUUGUCCGGAAUUAUUGGGCGUAAAGAGCUCGUAGGCGGUUUGUCGCGUCUGCUGUGAAAACCUAAGGCUCAACCUUGGGCUUGCAGUGGGUACGGGCAGACUAGAGUGCGGUAGGGGUGACUGGAAUUCCUGGUGUAGCGGUGGAAUGCGCAGAUAUCAGGAGGAACACCGAUGGCUAAGGCAGGUCACUGGGCCGCAACUGACGCUGAGGAGCGAAAGCAUGGGGAGCGAACAGG
rnacentral:rRNA from 1 species